GGUGAGAUUGCUUUCUGUACUCUCUGUAUUCUCUUACAUUCUCUGCUCCCACAGUGGGGGCUCCCUAGAAAUAAGAACUCUCACAAGAUUUCAUGAUGCACAACUUCCUUGACUUGCUUUCUCUGCAAGAGUGUGUGAGAUACGGCAACAUUGCAAGCACGAUCAGCAGCAUCAGUGUGAACAUCUUGGAUAUCUGCAGGAUACUCUAUGGAAUCCCAAAUGGAACCUGAUGCCUACACUUGGGCAAUGGAACACCUCUCCACCGACUCUGAGGUCAUGACUUAGAAACCUUUUCAUGCAUCAUCGCCUUUACUUAGGAAGCUAAGGAGCUGAAUCUUAUCUACAAUGAAGAAUUAUGUGAAACUGCAGUCUGUAAAUCUCAUCUACAAUGGAGAAUUAUACAAAACUGAGAAACUGGAUACACCUCCAUGAAGGCCUUCUUUUGGGGCUAGAUAUUGCUGCUCAUGGCUGUUAGGAUCUAUCCCAAGCUGCUGAUAACAGAUAAAUUCUGCAGUUACUGGAGAGAAAGGGCUGGGAAACUUCUUCCACCUCUCUGAAUGACACCUUUGGAUUAUAUUAAUACCCUGUCCCUCCUUUCUCUUUUUCUCCCAUACAUGCCACAGAGCAAACACCAGAUGUUUCAGUCUGCAAUGCAGUGCCAGCCCACAAAGCAGAGUGAAAAAAUAGUAGAAAAUAA